rnacentral:lncRNA from 1 species
AGAUAUUCCUGGAAGGAGAAUUCCUCACGUCACCUGCAACUUCAACUGUUACACGGCUUCACCACGUUAAACUCCCAGCAAAACCCCAAGUCGUCACCUGCCCCAGCGUUUACUCACCUUGUUCCCUAGCCCCGGCGGCCACCCUGUCCUUGAUCAUUUCCAAGUUGUGUUGCAGCGAGCUUCUACGUAGUUCUUCCCCACCCGCUCGCUCCCAGCCUGUCUGGUCCUGCGUACUUCGACGCCGUUCUCCAGACGUGACAGCUCCAUCGCUGGUCGUCCAAUCCAUGUUGAUCCUGACUGAUCUCGCACGAGCACUGAAGGCGUGGUGAGUCACCGGUACUCCCUCCCUGUACCUUUGAUUAGAGCUCUACCGUAGGGGAUGACUCCGGAUCAAGUUGUCGGGCGAGGUCUGAAUGAGGUUGGGCCGGCUGAGUGAGUUUGGGCCCCAUACUGUUCUGAGUUUUGCCUUUUUUAUUAACUGAGAGAUUAGAAAUGGUGCCAAAAUUUAUAGAAAAUUCUAAAAAUCAUGGGACAAAUUUUAGUGGAUGUAUAAAAUCAAACGCUCUUUGGUAAAGUUGGUUUUCAGAUUUUUAGGUCGGUUACCAAAUAUUAAGGGAUUUAAAAGUGCUCUUGGAAGGACUGUUUGGAUUUUAAAAAUAAAAGUACAGUGC